UGGGGAAUAUUGCACAAUGGGCGCAAGCCUGAUGCAGCCAUGCCGCGUGUGUGAAGAAGGCCUUCGGGUUGUAAAGCACUUUCAGCGAGGAGGAAGGUGGUGAGCUUAAUACGCUCAUCAAUUGACGUUACUCGCAGAAGAAGCACCGGCUAACUCCGUGCCAGCAGCCGCGGUAAUACGGAGGGUGCAAGCGUUAAUCGGAAUUACUGGGCGUAAAGCGCACGCAGGCGGUUUGUUAAGUCAGAUGUGAAAAUCCCCGGGCUCAACCUGGGAACUGCAUUUGAAACUGGCAAGCUAGAGUCUCGUAGAGGGGGGUAGAAUUCCAGGUGUAGCGGUGAAAUGCGUAGAGAUCUGGAGGAAUACCGGUGGCGAAGGCGGCCCCCUGGACGAAGACUGACGCUCAGGUGCGAAAGCGUGGGGAGCAAAACAGGAUUAGAUACCCUGGUAGUCCACGCUGUAAAACGAUGUCGAUUUUGGAGGUUGUGCCCUUGAGGCGUGGCUUCCGGAGCUAACGCGUUAAAUCGACCGCCUGGGGAG
rnacentral:rRNA from 1 species